AACUGAGCCAGCUGAAGGCUUUUAUACUGCACCUGGGCAGCGGGACGAGCUAAGGGAGGAGUUUUACUGGACUACUGGUGUUGCGUUCACAACACCUCACUGUGGUUCACUACAUAGGCUAUCUCUUUUCAGUGUUGUAGUUUGUAGACGGUCCCUAAGCACUCGUCUUACUGCCGUCUCAACACCGGAACCAAACAGAGGGCUUUUUCUUGACCAUCCAGUGAAUGCAACAAAAAGCCACUCCCUCAACGCAUUCAAUUAAUAUUUGGUGCUGGACCUGAUCUGUUGAACGUGAUACCAUAACCUCGUCCCUAGGCGGUUCUGUGUUACACAAAUUGAUGCUGAAAAAGAAACCAAAAAUGAUGGCAGCAGUUUGGAGGUCUGGAACCAGGCUAUACAGAGGGAAUAAAACUGUGCCAACUAUGCCAAGAGAGCUCUCUUUGUGUUUGUUCAUAAAAGCAUUGCAUCAUGCAUUGUCACUGAAUAUGACUUGACUUGACAUGACUUUCAUACAGUAUAUUCAGUUCCAGUAUAAUCAGUUCCAGGUCUUUAUCAAGCGCAGAAGCUGAAAUGCCUAAACUAAUAAAGGCAACUUUGUGAAGCCUUUUUGUGUCCCUACAAGUAAAC